GGUUUUCGAAGUCAUUAAAGGUUCUAAGGAGUUCAUAAAGUUCUAGUUGAUUUGAGUAAGUAGUUUAUUGAUUCAUAUCUUUCAUUGCUGAGGUAAUUUGAUGGAGAAUAGUUAAGGAGAUUUUAACUAUGAAGCUAAGCGGAGAAUGGUGAUCGUAUGCGCGGCUUGGGAUUAUGUGAGGUGACUAUAGACUUAAAUAUUUUGCAGGCUAUGAGGAUCACGAUUAAGGUAACUUCCAGGGAUGCUCAAUGGUUGUUUCAAGGAAGCUAUUGCUUUAGAAUAUCAUAUUCAGGAGUUGAUUUUGGUUAGCCAAGUUGUAAUUUAAGCUAUCUCUAAAUUAGUAUUAAGUUGAUUUUAA